UCAUGGCUCAGAUUGAACGCUGGCGGCAGGCCUAACACAUGCAAGUCGAACGGUAACAGGAAGAAGCUUGCUUCUUUGCUGACGAGUGGCGGACGGGUGAGUAAUGUCUGGGAAACUGCCUGAUGGAGGGGGAUAACUACUGGAAACGGUAGCUAAUACCGCAUAACGUCGCAAGACCAAAGAGGGGGACCUUCGGGCCUCUUGCCAUCGGAUGUGCCCAGAUGGGAUUAGCUAGUAGGUGGGGUAAAGGCUCACCUAGGCGACGAUCCCUAGCUGGUCUGAGAGGAUGACCAGCCACACUGGAACUGAGACACGGUCCAGACUCCUACGGGAGGCAGCAGUGGGGAAUAUUGCACAACGGGCGCAAGCCUGAUGCAGCCAUGCCGCGUGUAUGAAGAAGGCCUUCGGGUUGUAAAGCACUUUCAGCGGGGAGGAAGGGAGUAAAGUUAAUACCUUUGCUCAUUGACGUUACCCGCAGAAGAAGCACCGGCUAACUCCGUGCCAGCAGCCGCGGUAAUACGGAGGGCGCAAGCGUUAAUCGGAAUUACUGGGCGUAAAGCGCACGCAGGCGGUUUGUUAAGUCAGAUGUGAAAUCCCCGGGCUCAACCUGGGAACUGCAUCUGAUUCUGGCAAGGCUGGAGUCUCGUAGAGGGGGGGUAGAAUUUCAGGUGUAGCGGUGAAAAUGCGUAGAGAUCUGGAGGAAUACCGGUGGCGAAGGGGGCCCCCUGGACGAAGACUGACGCUCAGGUGCGAAAGCGUGGGGAGCAAACAGGAUUAGAUACCCUGGUAGUCCACGCCGUAAACGAUGUCGACUUGGAGGUUGUGCCCUUGAGGCGUGGCUUCCGGAGCUAACGCGUUAAGUCGACCGCCUGGGGAGUACGGCCGCAAGGUUAAAACUCAAAUGAAUUGACGGGGGCCCGCACAAGCGGUGGAGCAUGUGGUUUAAUUCGAUGCAACGCGAAGAACCUUACCUGGUCUUGACAUCCACAGAACUUUCCAGAGAUGGAUUGGUGCCUUCGGGAACUGUGAGACAGGUGCUGCAUGGCUGUCGUCAGCUCGUGUUGUGAAAUGUUGGGUUAAGUCCCGCAACGAGCGCAACCCUUAUCCUUUGUUGCCAGCGGUCCGGCCGGGAACUCAAAGGAGACUGCCAGUGAUAAACUGGAGGAAGGUGGGGAUGACGUCAAGUCAUCAUGGCCCUUACGACCAGGGCUACACACGUGCUACAAUGGCGCAUACAAAGAGAAGCGACCUCGCGAGAGCAAGCGGACCUCAUAAAGUGCGUCGUAGUCCGGAUUGGAGUCUGCAACUCGACUCCAUGAAGUCGGAAUCGCUAGUAAUCGUGGAUCAGAAUGCCACGGUGAAUACGUUCCCGGGCCCUGUACACACCGCCCGUCACACCAUGGGAGUGGGUUGCAAAAGAAGUAGGUAGCUUAACCUUCGGGAGGGCGCUUACCACUUUGUGAUUCAUGACUGGG
rnacentral:rRNA from 1 species